UACGUAGGGGGCAAGCGUUGUCCGGAUUUAUUGGGCGUAAAGAGCGUGUAGGCGGCCUGACAGGUCUGCUGUGAAAACUCGAGGCUCAACCUCGAGAUGUCGGCGGAAACCGUCUGGCUAGAGUCCGGAAGAGGAGAGUGGAAUUCCUGGUGUAGCGGUGAAAUGCGCAGAUAUCAGGAAGAACACCUAUGGCGAAGGCGGCUCUCUGGGACGGUACUGACGCUGAGACGCGAAAGCGUGGGGAGCAAACAGG
rnacentral:rRNA from 1 species